rnacentral:rRNA from 1 species
GACGUAGGGCGCGAGCGUUGUCCGGAUUUACUGGGCGUAAAGGGCUCGUAGGCGGCCAACUAAGUCAGACGUGAAAUCCCCAGGCUCAACCUGGGAACUGCGUCUGAUACUGGAUGGCUUGAAUCCGGGAGAGGGAUGCAGAAUUCCAGGUGUAGCGGUGAAAUGCGUAGAUAUCUGGAGGAAUACCGGUGGCGAAGGCGGCAUCCUGGACCGGCAUUGACGCUGAGGAGCGAAAGCCAGGGGAGCAAACGGG